rnacentral:sRNA from 1 species
UUUACAGUGAUUGAACAUUCAGAUGGAAGACCAGACACACAAGUACCUCGGGACAUCCAUCACCAGCAUCAAAUCAAAGUGAAACCCAGGAUGAGAGCCUCCAUCCUGUCUUCAUCCUCAAGGGGAAAUUAAUAGCAGAGUACAAAUAGUUGCUAGUGUACCAGUUCUUAAGAUGUGUGAAAUGGCAUUGCCACCAUCUUUAUUUAGAUUAUUGGUUUCCUUGCUCUAUUUCAGUAAACUUGAAAACAUCUCUGUGGGUUUUCACACGUCCAAGUCCAAUCACAGUCUUCUGGCACAAUUUUCCCAUUAAAGUUUUAAGGUCUUCAAGUAUUAAAAUUCAAGUAUAUUUUAGUGACCUAACCCCACAGGUGGGGAAGGACUAUUCUGGCAAAGCCUAAAGGAAAAUUCCAGCUGGUGACAUUGACAACGCCAGGUGAGCUGCCAACAGCAACAGCAGGGAGAUUUGUCCCCUGGCUUGGGCCUGGACCACAAUGCCAGCCCUCAGUGAGGGGAACCAACACCAGAGAGACAACAGAGGCACCAGCCAGGUCACUGGGCAGGAGCAAGGCAGAGCCCCCAGGAAAGGAAUGAUACUGACCAUUCUAGCCCCACACGCAUUAGUUGUCAGAGUGCGGGCACCUUGUGGAGUGUGGACCAACUCAGGGAACAGGAUGGGAGACAGUCAUCCCAGAGAGGAGCUGAGGUCUACAGGGCACUUCACUUCUCAGGACAGGAUUAUUCUGGGUAGUGGGAUGAGUCUGAGCCAGCAGGACAUGAGGUUAUGGGGUCAGGAGAAGGGGAGGCAGAGAAAGAGAAGUGUGGCUGGGCUGUCUGUGGCCUUACGAAAUAGCCAAGAGUCUUAAAAAAGGCAUUUCUGUAUUCGAAAAUGAGCGGUUUAUAACUGAUGAGUACAGCAGCACUUCCUGAAGGUGGAAUGGUGUAUGCUGUUGGUGGAUAGGGAAGUUAGUCAUUAAACUUCAGCCAGAAAGCAGAGUGGCAUCACAUCUUCAUGCCUGCAAAGUAGCUUUCUAGACUAAAUGGCAUUCCACAACAAUGCUGCAACCCGUGGGGGCACGCAAGCCUCAGUGAGCGGGGGGACACUUUGGUGUCCCGCUGGCCUCGGUCCAGUGAAGUCAGUGGAGUCCUUCCCUUUAGAAUGAGCGUUGGGUUGAGAACAUGGGUUUCUACAUCUUCCCUCCUGGGAAUGGUUUGGUGUUUGAUCAAAUGUGGGUGCAUCCUGCCUGCCACUUUACAAGCUGGGUGCUCUCCUCAAGUAUGGCUUUAGUUCCUUCUUUUCUCCUACUUCCCAUUUGACUUCCUUUCUUCUUUCAGACUUUCUUUACCUUCAUGUCAUUUGUUCAAGAAACAAGUGAUAAUAAGAAAGAUGUAAUAGGGAUAGAGGGAGGAGUAAGUCAGCUGCUCUGUCCCCAGGGACUCACAGUUCAGUGCAGUGGAUGAGAGACAAGUCAGUAGGCAUUCAUUCAUUAGUAAGCAGCAAUCUUCCAGAAGUGGUGUGAACUGUCAGGAGUUCUAGAUAAAACGCUGAGUGUGUGGAGGGGAGGAAGAGAUGGCUGCUGAGCAAGGGGAUCAGGGAAGACUUUCGUGGAGGAGAAAGUACCAACACCUCUGCAGUGCCUGCUUCGUACCUGGCCCUAGGCCAGGCGCUUCCCUUGUGGUGUAUUGUGAGGUCCUCCCGACAACCCUGAGAAGUGGCUGGUACAACCCCCAUUCUACAGAGGAGGAAGCCGGGGCUCUUUCUUUCUGUAACUCCUUUGUGCUACCAACUUACUGCUCUUUUGUAAAUUCUUAAAAAGACCUAGCAAUGAACCACAGCGCCUUCAGGAGCCCCACCUGCCAUGACCACCACCCGUACCGCCCGUGGACAAAUCAUGGAGUUUAGAGAUAGACUCGGCUUGAAUCUCAGCUGUCUGCCACUUACUGGAAGUGAGACCAAGAAGUCUCUUUCCUCUCUGUGCCUCUCUGUAAAAUGGGGGAUAAUAGUCAACAAAAUAUUUGUAAGGAUUAAGUGAAAUAACGGGUGUGGCAGAAUCUAGCAUGAUGCCUUGAAAUAAAUAUUUACUUUCUUUCCCCUAAAUUCCCCUAAAAUUAUAUGCUGGCUUUUAAUUUUCCCCAUGCUACUAUAACCAUGUUCUGGUAAAAAUGGAGAGAUUCACUAUUUAAAAUUGCUUAGGAUGAUCCCAGACAGUGACUGAAAUGGUUGUGAUUAGGAUGGUUAGGAGCAUGAUGACUUAGAUGUAACCUCAUUCUCAUUAAGGUGUUUAUGUCUCUGCAGAGGCUGACAGAUUCCAUGGACCAAGGCUCCCACUGUUUAUCCAUUAUUCAUUGAUUCUUUUUUUCUUUAUAGAAGAGCUACCAGAUGGUGUUCUUGAAUCUGAUGAUGAUGAAGAUGAAGAUGAUGAAGAGGACCAUGACAUCAUGGAAGCCGAUCUGGACAAAGACGAACUGAUCCAGCCCCAGCUCGGAGAACUCUCAGGAGAGAAGCUUCUGACCACGGAGUACCUGGGGAUCAUGACCAACACGGGGAAGAUGAGGCGGAAGGGGCUGGCUAAUGUGCAGUGGAGCGGGGAUGAGCCCCUGCAAAGGCCCGUCACCCCCGGCGGCCACAGAAACGGGUACCCAGUGUAAGUCAGGGCUAAAGGAAGCAGGAAUUGACUUUCUUAAGCUUUGUUUUGAUUAACUACAAUGUAAGAUGUAUGUAUUUUUAAAAUUCAAAAUAAAGCAUUCAUUUUGAAAAGCA